GCUCAUUUUUUGAUUUUCCCAAUAAAUGGGAAAAAACGGGAAAACGAAUUGUAUUAAAGAAAAUAAAGGUUUUAUACAAGACAAAACCAAGUAACUAAAUAGUAUCCGUAGUGCAUCAAAUAAUGUACAAAUAUUUUAUGAGAUAUGAGUUAGGUAUUUAACACGAUAAACAAAAGUUUAUUAUUUUUUGAUUGUCAACGUUUCUUUCUCUAUGCUUUGCAGAUGUUCUUCAGGAAAAUGUUUGACUUGGGAGGUCUCAAAUAAGUUAGUGAUCUUGGCCUUAAUUUCAUCAAAUCAGGCCUUGACUAUACCACAUUGUAUGCUCUGUCCGUCAAUUUCGAGGACGCGAUCAUUUUAGGAAAAUAUUAUAACUGAAUAGAUUCUACUGUAUUCAUUAUUAUCUUGCAAAUAUCCAUAAACGGUCGUAUUUCCGUUUCCUCAUAAUAUUUCUGUGUCAUUUUUAACGCCUCAGUAAAAGAAAACGCUUGCAUUUUGCUUUCAGUAAUUUUUUUCGGAUUUUCAACAUUCAUAUUUGGUUCUAAUUGUAUUUGUACUCUAUUUCCCUAACUACGUAUAUCUAUUCGAUAUGUUCUCGUCGUGGGUGUUAACUCGAAUUCCUCUAAAUUUAUUUAUCUUAAACUUUUAUUUAACGGGUUCAUCGAGGUAUAAAAAUUGAGGUGAAAAUGUGUAAUUUGUUUUUUUUCACAUGUUACUAUCAAAUAUUGUUUAUUAUUAAUUUAUAAUUAUGAAUAAUCUUAAUUUUCUAUACAAUAAUUUUUUAGAUUCCAAGCGUAGAGCUAUUGGUUUUACAAUGCUGUUUAAUUUUUCUUGUUCUUCUUUUUUUUAUUUCUUUGUUCUAGUCUGUGGAUAUGUUUUUUCCUAGUAAACUUAAGCCGAUUUUUA